AAGGUUGAUUUCAUUUUCUCAGAAAAUAUUCCAAAGCUCUCUCUAUUCUUUGUGCUUUCUUCUUCCUUAAAACUUUCUACAAAAGCCAUGGCAGCUAUGCUAACAUGGUAUCAAAGCUACGGCUCUUGAUCCUAUGGACCUACUCAUGCUUAUAGUUACUUUCCUUCAAUCUCUAGCUUCCACUUUUAUCAGUUUCAGAAGAUUCAAUUAAUUCCCAAUUUCAAACCCUAACCCCCAAAUUGGAUAUCACCUUAAUCAUGAAGCCUCUGCCAUGUGCUCUAGUCGUCAUUAAAAGUUGUGUUUGAUCCUUCUCUUCGCUUCUGCAUUCAAGUCUCUUCAAGCUUCGUCAAGAGAAACGUCGACAUUGGCUAAGAUCUACAAGAAAGGGUGCAAAGGUAUGAUCCACUACUUCAAUAAUUAAGUUCCUACUUCACAGCAAACAACAGACAUUCUCACAAAAGGGCGACAUACUUCAAGCUUCAAGGUGCAUUCCAAUCUCAAUGUUUUGACUCACACUGAUAUUGAGGGGAGGUGUUAACGAGUAUAACUACUCAUGAUCGUGUAAAAGUCAAGGUUUGCUGUUGUUGUUUGCUUAUGUGGCAAUUUUAAUUACUUAGCUUUGUUUUCUCUCAUCUACUAUAAAUAAUGUUAGUAUGUAAGAACUCUGUAAGGUUGAUUUCAUUUUCUCAAAAAAUAUUCCAAAGCUCUCUUUAUUCUC